rnacentral:tRNA from 1 species
ACCCCAUUAGAUUAGUGGUUAGAUCCUCUGACUCUAAAUCAGAUGACGUCGGUUCGAUUCCGACAUGGGGUA